AGGGAUUUAAUUGUUCUCAUUCCAAUUGCCAGACUUUAAAAAGCCCGGCNUUGUUAUUUAUUGUCGCUACCUCCCUGUGUCAGGAUUGGGUAAUUUACGCGCCUGCUGCCUUCCUUAGAAGUGGUAGCUGUCUUUAAGGCUCCCUCUCCGGAAUCGUACCCUAAUACUCCGUUACCCGUUACUGGCAUGGUAGGCCAAUACCCUACCAUCCAAACCUGAUAGGGCAGAAACUUAUAUGAUUUAUCGCACAGAGUGCGAUCCGCACAGUUAUUAUGAUUCAACUCAAUACCGGCAAAGCCGCAUUGGUUUCUUUCUAAUAAAUGCUACCCUUCCAAAAAGUCGGGUAUUUAUGCAUGUAUUAGCUCUAGAAUUACUACGGUUAUCCAAGUAGUAAGGUACUAUCAAAUAAACUAUAACUGAUAUAAUGAGCUAUUCGCAGUUUCACAGUACAAAAUUGUUUAUACUUAGACAUGCAUGGCUUAAUCCUUGAGACAAGCGUAUGUGACUGGCAGGAUCAACCAGAUUGUCNA
rnacentral:rRNA from 1 species